rnacentral:lncRNA from 1 species
GGUUCUCUUUCUGCCUGGCCUCAGGCUUCAGAGCUAAUGCACCGGUCCCGGGCGGUGGGAAUCAAGCGGUACGCGGGACCCGACCCUGCCCCCGCGGUCCCGCACAUUUGCAGCCCUUGGUGACCCCGGCUGGCAGCCGCCAGUUCAGUGCAGAGGUGGGCUCGCGGUUGCCGGAAAGGUCAUUGAGGUGGCAUCCCUGUCCGCGCGCUGUUUACGUGACUUAAUGUAUGUACUUCUUACGCGGCGCUUGUUAUCAGGGCCACCCAAUGACCGACGAAAGAUUUUCCCUCCCCACCUCUCCCAUCGCCGCUUUAAACCAAAUAAAUUUAGCUAUUAAGGGCCAAGAUGUCUGAAAAAAGAUCGAAAGGUGUCUCUCUGGGAUCCCUUAGAGAAGCGGAGAAGCUAGCGGCUCUUGGCUCUCGAAUCCCGAUAAAGAAAUUCCCCGCCGGCGCCAGCCUCCCUCCUCAGCCUGCUUGCGUUCUUGGGAUCACCACCUCAAAGGUCCGUUGCGACCUGUGACUGCAACUGAGGCAUUGUCUCCGGGUCUCCUGGCCUGGGGAUGCUCAGGCAUUGGAACUAACCCUAACUCAGAAGCUGUAGGACCUAAAACAUUCCUGCCAGGCUUGCAGAAGAACCAAGGUCAAUGAAACAAACUCAAGUUCCAUUUAAAUUUGCCCCUGUUCCCCCUGUCUUCUACAAAGCCUUCUAUUAUAUAUGACAAGCUGGCCUGGAGCUCAAGAUCCUUACCGCCUGUAGAGUAUAGGAAUUACAAAUGUUGUAGCCUUGUCCUACUGUUUUGGGUUUAUUUAUUUAUUUAUUUCUCUAAUAUUAAUAAAGACAAAACCAAAUCAUACCUG